rnacentral:rRNA from 1 species
UACGUAGGGACCAAGCGUUGUUCGGAUUUACUGGGCGUAAAGGGCGCGUAGGCGGCGCGGUAAGUCACUUGUGAAAUCUCUGAGCUUAACUCAGAACGGCCAAGUGAUACUGCAGUGCUAGAGUGUGGAAGGGGCAAUCGGAAUUCUUGGUGUAGCGGUGAAAUGCGUAGAUAUCAAGAGGAACACCUGAGGUGAAGACGGGUUGCUGGGCCAACACUGACGCUGAGGCGCGAAAGCCAGGGGAGCGAACGGG